UUGGUGCUUGCAUCAUGAUUUACAUUUGAGUGAGUGGCGAACUGGUGAGUAACACGUGGGAAACCUGCCCAGAAGCGGGGGAUAACACCUGGAAACAGAUGCUAAUACCGCAUAACAACUUGGACCGCAUGGUCCGAGCUUGAAAGAUGGCUUCGGCUAUCACUUUUGGAUGGUCCCGCGGCGUAUUAGCUAGAUGGUGGGGUAACGGCUCACCAUGGCAAUGAUACGUAGCCGACCUGAGAGGGUAAUCGGCCACAUUGGGACUGAGACACGGCCCAAACUCCUACGGGAGGCAGCAGUAGGGAAUCUUCCACAAUGGACGAAAGUCUGAUGGAGCAACGCCGCGUGAGUGAAGAAGGGUUUCGGCUCGUAAAACUCUGUUGUUAAAGAAGAACAUAUCUGAGAGUAACUGUUCAGGUAUUGACGGUAUUUAACCAGAAAGCCACGGCUAACUACGUGCCAGCAGCCGCGGUAAUACGUAGGUGGCAAGCGUUGUCCGGAUUUAUUGGGCGUAAAGCGAGCGCAGGCGGUUUUUUAAGUCUGAUGUGAAAGCCUUCGGCUCAACCGAAGAAGUGCAUCGGAAACUGGGAAACUUGAGUGCAGAAGAGGACAGUGGAACUCCAUGUGUAGCGGUGAAAUGCGUAGAUAUAUGGAAGAACACCAGUGGCGAAGGCGGCUGUCUGGUCUGUAACUGACGCUGAGGCUCGAAAGUAUGGGUAGCAAACAGGAUUAGAUACCCUGGUAGUCCAUACCGUAAACGAUGAAUGCUAAGUGUUGGAGGGUUUCCGCCCUUCAGUGCUGCAGCUAACGCAUUAAGCAUUCCGCCUGGGGAGUACGGCCGCAAGGCUGAAACUCAAAGGAAUUGACGGGGGCCCGCACAAGCGGUGGAGCAUGUGGUUUAAUUCGAAGCUACGCGAAGAACCUUACCAGGUCUUGACAUACUAUGCAAAUCUAAGAGAUUAGACGUUCCCUUCGGGGACAUGGAUACAGGUGGUGCAUGGUUGUCGUCAGCUCGUGUCGUGAGAUGUUGGGUUAAGUCCCGCAACGAGCGCAACCCUUAUUAUCAGUUGCCAGCAUUAAGUUGGGCACUCUGGUGAGACUGCCGGUGACAAACCGGAGGAAGGUGGGGAUGACGUCAAAUCAUCAUGCCCCUUAUGACCUGGGCUACACACGUGCUACAAUGGAUGGUACAACGAGUUGCGAACUCGCGAGAGUAAGCUAAUCUCUUAAAGCCAUUCUCAGUUCGGAUUGUAGGCUGCAACUCGCCUACAUGAAGUCGGAAUCGCUAGUAAUCGCGGAUCAGCAUGCCGCGGUGAAUACGUUCCCGGGCCUUGUACACACCGCCCGUCACACCAUGAGAGUUUGUAACACCCAAA
rnacentral:rRNA from 2 species